UACGGGGGGGGCAAGCGUUGUUCGGAAUUACUGGGCGUAAAGGGCUCGUAGGCGGCCAACUAAGUCAUACGUGAAAUCCCUCGGCUUAACCGGGGAACUGCGUCUGAUACUGGAUGGCUUGAGUUCGGGAGAGGGAUGCGGAAUUCCAGGUGUAGCGGUGAAAUGCGUAGAUAUCGGGAGGAACACCAGUGGCGAAGGCGGCUACCUGGCCCAUUCUUGACGCUGAGGCGCGAAAGCUAGGGGAGCAAACGGG
rnacentral:rRNA from 1 species